UGGGGCGUAGCCAAGCGGUAAGGCAACGGGUUUUGAUCCCGUCACGCGUAGGUUCGAAUCCUGCCGCCCCAGCCA
rnacentral:tRNA from 1 species